AGGAAGGUAUUACUUUAACUCUAAUUAAAUUCAGAGUUAAUAAUAAUAAUACAUUAAACUUAGAAUAUUUCCACAGCCCUGAAGUAAGUUCGAUAAUGGAUGCGUAUUAAAAUGUGUACGAUUUUAAUUUGUAUUUCUAUGAACAUGCCAUUAUUCGAUAUGAUCUAACAACCUUUACGUUUAUAUCAAAGAUGAUAACAAACAGACUGCAUCUUCAACCGGCCUAAAUGGUAAGACUUUACUAAAAGAUGACGACCCUCACCAUUGGUGCCUGUCACUGAUCUGAUUAGACUCGUGUACAGGGUCAUACAGUACGUAACUCCAUUAAAGAGUUAGUGAAGGAACAGCAUUGUGUGGAAAGUCAAUAUGAUCAAUGUGUGUAUGAUCAAUAAAUAUGAUAUUGUAUUGAUAUGAUACAAUAUGAUCAUAUGUGUGUAUGAUCAAUAUAUGAUCAAUACAACGUGUGUAUUGGCGUUCCGUUCUGUGCCAUUGGCGCCCGGCACAGCGCAUUCACGACCCUCAGCUGGAGGUUCAAAAAUAUAGGAUGGAUAAGCAGAUUUGUGAUUUAUUUUAAUUAUAUCUCAUUUUGCUUCACAGCACCAGAAUCAUAACACAAUUCACUUUUCUAUCUUUUGUUGCAAUACAUUUUAGUCAUGUAUGCCUUUGAAAAUAGUUUAUAAUGCUGUGGAUGACGCUGUAUACAAAGACUGAAUUAUACAGAUACAUAAGCGAAAUUUUUUAAAAUUUCAAUCAUCUCUGGGUUCUCAUAUUUUGAAAGGUAAGAUAAAUAAUGGCAUGCAACACUCAUAUCCAGCUGUCGAUCCUUGCGGAGUUGACAGGUUCUCCGUGUGUGCCAGUACUCCAUCACUAACUGCCUAAUGCCUGUAAAUUGGCUGUUUUGUCAGGGUACCUUGUGAUGGAAUACCUUUUCCUGUUCAGGGCUGUUUGAUUCUUUGCAGCCACCGAUGCUGGGGGAGGAUCCACCUCCCCGAGAACCGUGAACUGAAAUAAGCAGGUUUGUGGAUGUUACGAUAAAAUUAAUAAAGUACAUGGCAAUAAUUAUGUUCACAUUUUUGCUUGAAGAGAUAUGAAAAAGUUAACUGGAAUGUGUCAGCAGACCAUUUGUGUAAGUAAUGGAAUAGGCUGAUAUCCGUAUGCUGAAGAAGAAGGCUAUUCAAACGAGUGAAUAUUCCACGUGUUGAAUGGGGAAAAACGCUCACGUGAAAAGAGCGCCCCCUGGUGCUUAAAAACGAGUGUGACAGACUGUAAGUCAACAGGCUAACUUGCUUUGAAUUGAUGCGCUGAGCCUACUCUGGCAGCAUAGGGCAAAGGCUGGAAUGAACCAGAUCACAGUAAUAACUUUUAUUGACUUAUAUGAUGUAGGGAAGCAAUACAAUAAUAACGUGUUCAGCUCGGACUGCUUGCUGGUUUUUGGCGUGGAUAGUGAAACGUUUUUUUAAAACAGUUCUCAAAUCGCAAAUUGACGUCGACUAGGCGUGGACCAUCACUUCAAAAAUUCCCGGGAAAUUCCCAAAUUAUAACAAAAGUCAAUCUGCAGACUUCACAGAGGGUACUUUCCAAAGGGGAGGGGUUUCAAUACACAAAACAGAUUAAACUUUGGGCAUUCCCUUUAUUUUAUCUUCACCCAAGCCUCGAACUGUGUUAAAUAUGAUGAACGUAUGGAUUAGCACUUCGGAGGACACUAGUGGAAAUUGCGAAGGAUGGUAUUGGACCACCUUGAUAGCUUGCCUAUGCAUUCUGGCUGGAUUGCUACUAUGCACAAAGGCCGUCUUCACAUUUUCUUAUUUUGCGAUUAACCGCCCACGAACCUCAAGAGGUCAUUUUGGGUGGAAUCUGCCUCCCCUAUCGACAGAAGAAACACAGCCUCACGAAGGACCUGUCACCAUCACCUACUCAUAACUUCAUUCAGCACACGUUAAGGUGCUGUUGGGCCUAUGGGGGCUCAUCGCUUGUGUCAGAAUUUAAAGAAAGACUGGAUAAAGCUUGGAGGAAGACCUUCCAGCAUUUACCUCAUCUUCUUUUUUUCCAAGCUCCAGUACAACAAAGACACCACCGUGCUGCUUCCAUCAGACUACAAGUAUUUGAGCACUAUUGUUAGAAAUCCAGUUUUUGGGAAUGGUGCUAAAAUUACAAGGGCACUUUGUGGGGGGGGGUUCAAAGAACAUGGAAUCCUUGAUCCUCCCUUGACGUUUUGCUGCACAGCAAUGGUCUGCCAGUUUCGGCUUGCUGUAGGCCCUGUGUUCAACAGUCAUGAAGACCACACACAUGAACUGCUUCUGUCCUGGAGACACUUCUGUCCUGGCACCAUGACUUGAAGUCAAUUGGAUUUCCAUUUUAAUUACGUUACAAAAACAAUGCAAAAGACUAAAGCAUUAAUUAGUGGGUGUCAUUCCUCUGCAUCCUGGCUAACGUUUGCUACUGACUCUUGUUUACAUGAAUCAUUUUAUUGAUACUUUGGAUGGUAAGGAAAACGUUUGUGUUUCCAUUUGGUACUUGAGUAUGAACUGGGGUAAAAUGUGGCAGCUUCUCAGUGAGGACACUUGCACUGUUUGAAGCCCUUACAGUAAUGAGCUUACCAGAGGACCCUCUGAAGGCCUGGUGCUAAAGGCUGUCACGUCCAGUGUGUUUACGAAUACCUCAAACGAGAUGUGCAAUGAGAUACCUUCCAAAGUUUUUCAGUAAAUUAUUUAGAUAAUGCAAAUAUGAAUAUUAUUUUAUAUAAAUAUAUAUAUUUUUCUGACAAGGUGGCGCCGGUGUAUGCCGUCUGUUGCUCUCAGCUUUACUUUAGCUUUUCUGUUUUGUUGGUUAUUAUAAAUCAAUCCAGCAUUUUGCUUUGUUUGUCAUGAUCGCCAAGCACUUUUUAACACUCAACUUGCUGCCAAAUGACCCGGGUGAACAGAAAAAGUCUCCGCAUCUAUCGGCAAUGCCCGCUCACCUCUGGUUAUACUUCGAUCUGUCCACCUCAGAGAAGACGGAAAGAUGCCGGAUGUGGGAAAAGCGCAAUGUUUUUAGUUGGUGAGAACUAAUUUCAUCUGGAUUUGUCCAAAUACGGAUCUAAUCGUCACCAUGUUGUUUCCUGACGGUCUCUGGGCCUGCGUGGGACGCUUCUGUUUUUGGAAUGGCUUUUGAGUAGAGCUGUCACUUUUGCUCUAUAUUUUUUUGUUUUAAUAUUCUAGGUUUUAUUUUACGUUUUAUUGUUCAGCGCUUUGUGACUUCUGUCUGUGAUAAGCACUUUAUAAAUAAAUGUUUAUAUUA